CACAUACUCCCCUCCGUCCGGAAAUACUUGUCAUCAAAAUGAAUAAAAGGAGAUGGAUCUAGAUGUAUUUUAGUUCUAGAUACAUCCCUUUUUAUUCAUUUUGAUGACAAGUAUUUUCAGACGGAGGGAGUAUCGA
rfam:Triticum aestivum genome assembly, contig: Triticum_aestivum_CS42_TGACv1_scaffold_499758_6BL